UAGCAUGAAAAAUGUUGACAGUUGAGUCGCUUUGCAAACGAAGGGUGUAUGUAGCCAAAUUAAAAACACUGAGUAAAGUGCACAUAGGGCAUAAUUUUAAUUUAUUUCUAAAAAUCAAAAAAUGGAUGUAGGAAUACUUUUAUAGACACAAUAGGUAGAUUAUGCGUUUGUCAAGCCCAUGCAAAGCAAAUCUCGAUUUGUUUAUUUUUGCAGAUACGUCGGAUUGAAAAGUUUGGCUUGAACUCAUGAAACACUGAAAU